rnacentral:rRNA from 1 species
UACAGAGGUCCCAAGCGUUGUUCGGAUUCACUGGGCGUAAAGGGUGCGCAGGUGGCAUGGUAAGUUCGAUGUGAAAGCCCCGGGCUUAACCCGGGAAAGGCAUUGGAUACUACUGUGCUGGAGGAUUGGAGGGGGGACUGGAAUUCUUGGUGUAGCAGUGAAAUGCGUAGAUAUCGGGAGGAACACCAGUGGCGAAGGCGACUACCUGGCCUGUUUCUUGACGCUGAGGCGCGAAAGCUAGGGGAGCAAACGGG